AUAUUGUUGUUUAAGAUUGCAGUCAACACUUUUACAUUUGCUACUAAGUGUAAAAUACAAGAAAAUGCAUUCACGGUUGUUCCAUUUGUCUUAUUGUUCAACUCUUCAAGAAAGCACUGAAAUCAAAAUAAUUGUGUUUCUCAUCUUGUUCUGGUCCCCUGUGGAGGUAAUCUGAGAAAGUUCCUUGGAGUUCAUUAGAAGUGCUACAUUUUCGAGAAGUUUGUCAAAAUGCAGAAGAAAUAAGUAAAGGAAGAAGUGAUUUUUUUAAAAAGAGCAAAUGUUUUCUUCAUUCUAACUCUCUUCUAGAAUAUUUUUGAAGGUUUUAAAUGUACAAAAUCUUUGCACUUCCCAUAAUUAUAAGAUGGAAAUUUUAGGGUAGCCUGAAAUUCUUCAGUGAACUCUUAAACUUAAACUUAAACUUAACUCUUAAACAUUAACUCUGAACCUUUCUAACAGGCUUAGAUUUUAUUAAGAAUAAAGAUAUGGAUGUGUGUCUUUCCCAGACCUAUGCUUAAAAUAGCCCUUGAUAGCCCUCAGUCUGUAGUGUGUUUCUGUUGGAUAGAUGGCCCAGAAUCAAGGUCUUGUGAAUGCAUACAAACACCCUAAUAAAGCUUAGGAGUGUUGGAGUCCCCCCAGCUCCACCAAAGCCCUGCUGUUAGGUCUUCAAGGCAGAUGCAAAGUCAUAUGAGUUACUCUUGGAGUUUCCUGGUGGCCUAGCAAUUAAGGAUCUGGCAUUGUCACUGCUGCAGCCUCGGUCACUGCUGUGGCAUAGGCUCAACCCCUGGCCUGGGGAACUUCUUGACAUUUUUAUGGGGUCUCCACAUAAAACCCUCAAGUCCACUGUCUAACCCUGAAAAUACCCUAGGUCUUCCCAGCUCAGGUCAGACCAACCCUCUGCCAGCUCCAACCACAUAGACCAGGUGGGAGGGGCCAAAGUGUUUCACAUAAGAUGUCCCUCAACUCUGGCCUCAGUGGUCCAGUGGGAGCUCAGGUCCAGCACCUUGCAUGUACUCCUUCCUGCCUGGGUAACUCAGGAUCUGGCCACCACCACCUGCUUUGAGACCAUCAGUCUCAUCCUGCCCUUCAUCCUUUCUUGACUGAGUUAGCUCAGUCAAGAAACCCAGGCUUUCCAGGUCACCUUGCAAGCUCUCAUCCCAAGUAGUUCUUCAUAUUCCUUUUUAUUUCUCCAUUUCCACUCCCCCAACUUCUGAAACACUUCCUCUGUGCCCUCUGAUAUUCACACCAACAAAACAUCCUCCAUCCUCAUUCUUCUCUGCAAGUCCUCUUUCCUUUCCUUUCCUUUCCUUCCUUCCUUCCUUCCUUCCUCUCUCUUUCUUUCAGGGCCCCAUCUGCAGCAUAUGGAGGUUCCCAGGCUAGGGGUUGAAUCGGAGCUACAGCUGCCGGCCUACGCCACAGCCAUAGCAACACAGGAUCCCAGCCUUGUCUGUGACCUACGCCACAGUUCAUGGGAAUAGCAGAUCUUUAACCAGCUGAGCAAGGCCGGGGACUGAACCCGAACCCUCAUGGAUACUAGUUAGUAAUGAACCCAACUAGUAUCCAUGAGGACCUGGGUUUGAUCCCUGGCCUUGUUCAGUGGGUCUGGGAUCUAGCAUUGCCAUAAGGUAUGGUGUAGUUCGAAGAUUUGGCUCAGAUCCUGCAUUGCUGUGGCUAUGGUGUAGGCCAGCAGCUGCAGCUCCAAAUUGACCCCUAGCCUAGGAACUUGCAUAUGCUGCAGAUGCGGCCCUAAAAAGUAGAAAGAAAGAAGGAAGGAAAGGAAAGAAGGAAAGAAGGAAAGAAGGAAAG
rnacentral:lncRNA from 1 species